GUGCACCAGUCGCGAAACUUUACAAUGUGCGAAAGCACGAUAAGGGAACUCUGAGUGCCUCCUAAGGAGGCUGUUCAGGUGUCUAAAAGCACCUGAAGGAAGGGCUGGGUAAGACCGGUGCCAGCCGCCGCGGUAACACCGGCAGCCCAAGUGGUAGCCACGUUUAUUGGGUCUAAAGCGUCCGUAGCCGGCUGGGUAAGUUCCUUGGGAAAUUUGGCUGCUUAACAGUCAAGCUUUCAGGGAAUACUGCCCGGCUUGGGACCGGGAGAGGUCAGAGGUACUCCAGGGGUAGGGGUGAAAUCCAUUAAUCCUUGGGGGACCACCGGUAGCGAAGGCGUCUGACCAGACCGGGUCCGACGGUGAGGGACGAAGGCUA
rnacentral:rRNA from 1 species